rnacentral:rRNA from 1 species
UACGGAGGGUGCAAGCGUUAUCCGGAUUCACUGGGUUUAAAGGGUGCGUAGGUGGGCAGUUAAGUCAGUGGUGAAAUCUCCGGGCUUAACCCGGAAACUGCCAUUGAUACUAUCUGUCUUGAAUACCGUGGAGGUUAGCGGAAUAUGUCAUGUAGCGGUGAAAUGCUUAGAUAUGACAUAGAACACCAAUUGCGAAGGCAGCUGGCUACACGAAUAUUGACACUGAUGCACGAAAGCGUGGGGAUCAAACAGG